AGAAACUUAGGAUAGCCUACCCCAAACCGAAG
rnacentral:tRNA from 1 species